rnacentral:rRNA from 1 species
UACGUAGGGUGCGAGCGUUAAUCGGAAUUACUGGGCGUAAAGCGUGCGCAGGCGGUCGGUUAAGACCGAUGUGAAAUCCCCGGGCUUAACCUGGGAACUGCAUUGGUGACUGGCAGGCUUUGAGUGUGGCAGAGGGAGGUAGAAUUCCACGUGUAGCAGUGAAAUGCGUAGAGAUGUGGAGGAAUACCGAUGGCGAAGGCAGCCUCCUGGGCCAACACUGACGCUCAUGCACGAAAGCGUGGGGAGCAAACAGG